AAAUGAAACCCCUUUUCAUAACUACUUCCAGGGCCAGAUAUUCGAAGCUUACAACAUGGCAGCUUUGUGGAAAUUACCUUGUAUUUUCAUCUGUGAGAAUAAUCGCUAUGGAAUGGGAACGUCUGUUGAGAGAGCAGCAGCCAGCACUGAUUACUACAAGAGAGGCGAUUUCAUUCCUGGGCUGAGAGUGGAUGGAAUGGAUAUCCUGUGCGUCCGAGAGGCGACAAGGUUUGCUGCUGCCUAUUGUAGAUCUGGGAAGGGGCCCAUCCUGAUGGAGCUGCAGACUUACCGUUACCAUGGACACAGUAUGAGUGAUCCUGGAGUCAGUUACCGUACACGAGAAGAAAUUCAGGAAGUAAGAAGUAAGAGUGACCCUAUUAUGCUUCUCAAGGACAGGAUGGUGAACAGCAAUCUUGCCAGUGUGGAAGAACUAAAGG
rnacentral:sRNA from 1 species